rnacentral:tRNA from 4 species
GCCUGAGUGGCGGAAUCGGUAGACGCAGUGGAUUCAAAAUCCACCGUUGGUAACAACGUGGGAGUUCGAGUCUCCCCUCAGGCACCA